AACGCUGGCGGCAGGCCUAACACAUGCAAGUCGAACGAGGACCCGGAGCCUUGCUCCGGACUCCUAGUGGCGGACGGGUGAGUAACGCGUGGGAAUCUGCCCAGCAGUACGGAACAACCGCGGGAAACUGCGGCUAAUACCGUAUACGCCCUCCGGGGGAAAGAUUUAUCGCUGCUGGAUGAGCCCGCGUCGGAUUAGCUUGUUGGUGGGGUAACGGCCUACCAAGGCGACGAUCCGUAGCUGGUCUGAGAGGAUGAUCAGCCACACUGGGACUGAGAUACGGCCCAGACUCCUACGGGAGACAGCAGUGGGGAAUAUUGGACAAUGGGGGAAACCCUGAUCCAGCCAUGCCGCGUGAGUGAAGAAGGCCUUAGGGUUGUAAAGCUCUUUCACCGGGGAAGAUGAUGACGGUACCCGGAGAAGAAGCCCCGGCUAACUCCGUGCCAGCAGCCGCGGUAAUACGGAGGGGGUUAGCGUUGAAGCCGA
rnacentral:rRNA from 1 species